CCAGACUCCUACGGGAGGCAGCAGUGGGGAAUAUUGGGCAAUGGGCGCAAGCCUGACCCAGCAACGCCGCGUGAAGGAAGAAGGCUUUCGGGUUGUAAACUUCUUUUGUCAGGGACGAAGCAAGUGACGGUACCUGACGAAUAAGCCACGGCUAACUACGUGCCAGCAGCCGCGGUAAUACGUAGGUGGCAAGCGUUAUCCGGAUUUACUGGGUGUAAAGGGCGUGUAGGCGGGGAAGCAAGUCAGAUGUGAAAACCACGGGCUCAACCUGUGGCCUGCAUUUGAAACUGUUUUUCUUGAGUGCUGGAGAGGCAGGCGGAAUUCCUAGUGUAGCGGUGAAAUGCGUAGAUAUUAGGAGGAACACCAGUGGCGAAGGCGGCCUGCUGGACGACAACUGACGGUGAGGCGCGAAAGCGUGGGGAGCAAACGGGAUUAGAUACCCGGGUACAA
rnacentral:rRNA from 1 species